rnacentral:rRNA from 1 species
UCCAGACUCCUACGGGAGGCAGCAGUGGGGAAUAUUGCACAAUGGGGGGAACCCUGAUGCAGCGACGCCGCGUGGGUGAAGGAGUACUUCGGUACGUAAAGCCCUCUCAGCAGGAAAGAAAAUGACGGUACCUGACUAAGAAGCCCCGGCUAACUACGUGCCAGCAGCCGCGGUAAUACGUAGGGGGCAAGCGUUAUCCGGAAUUAUUGGGUGUAAAGGGUGCGUAGACGGAAGAACAAGUUGGUUGUGAAAUCCCUCGGCUCAACUGAGGAACUGCAACCAAAACUAUUCUCCUUGAGUGUCGGAGAGGAAAGUGGAAUUCCUAGUGUAGCGGUGAAAUGCGUAGAUAUUAGGAGGAACACCAGUGGCGAAGGCGGCCUGCUGGACGACAACUGACGGUGAGGCGCGAAAGCGUGGGGAGCAAACAGGAUUAGAUACCCGCGUACC